AUUGAACGCUGGCGGCAGGCCUAACACAUGCAAGUCGAGCGGAUGAAGGGAGCUUGCUCCUGGAUUCAGCGGCGGACGGGUGAGUAAUGCCUAGGAAUCUGCCUGGUAGUGGGGGAUAACGUCCGGAAACGGGCGCUAAUACCGCAUACGUCCUGAGGGAGAAAGUGGGGGAUCUUCGGACCUCACGCUAUCUGAUGAGCCUAGGUCGGAUUAGCUAGUUGGUGGGGUAAAGGCCUACCAAGGCGACGAUCCGUAACUGGUCUGAGAGGAUGAUCAGUCACACUGGAAGUGAGAAACGGUACAGACUGCUACGGGAGGCAGCAGUGGGGAAUAUUGGACAAUGGGCGAAAGCCUGAUCCAGCCAUGCCGAGUGUGUGAAGAAGGUCUUCGGAGUGUAAAGCACUUUAAGUUGGGAGGAAGGGCAGUAAGUUAAUACCUUGCUGUUUUGACGUUACCAACAGAAUAAGCACCGGCUAACUUCGUG
rnacentral:rRNA from 1 species